rnacentral:snRNA from 1 species
AGCUUUGCGAGGUGGUAGUAUCGUAGCCAGUGAGGUUUAUCUGAGGCACUAUUAUUGCUGAUUGAGCAAAGGGGUGUUCUACCACUGAGCUACAUUUCCCACCCCGGAAUAAAAUUUGGAGAUAGGGUCUCACUA